UGGGGAAUCUUGCACAAUGGAGGAAACUCUGAUGCAGCGAAGCCGCGUGAGUGAAGAAGGCCCUUGGGUUGUAAAACUCUUUCGUCGGGGAAGAAAAUGACUGUACCCGAAUAAGAAGGUCCGGCUAACUUCGUGCCAGCAGCCGCGGUAAUACGAAGGGACCUAGCGUAGUUCGGAAUUACUGGGCUUAAAGAGUUCGUAGGUGGUUGAAAAAGUUGGUGGUGAAAUCCCAGAGCUUAACUCUGGAACUGCCAUCAAAACUUUUCAGCUAGAGUAUGAUAGAGGAAAGCAGAAUUUCUAGUGUAGAGGUGAAAUUCGUAGAUAUUAGAAAGAAUACCAAUUGCGAAGGCAGCUUUCUGGAUCAUUACUGACACUGAGGAACGAAAGCAUGGGUAGCGAAGAGG
rnacentral:rRNA from 1 species